rnacentral:snRNA from 1 species
UGAUGUGAGGGUGUUUUGGCUGCAACAUCUGUCACCUCAUUGAUCUCCAGGGUUGAUUCCCCUGAUCUGGCUGGCUAGGCAGGUAUCCUCUGCUUCCCUCACCACUCCAUGUGCAUUCCUCCUGAAGCUGAACUCUCACUGCAGACAACAGCUUUCCCAAAAUAGAGGAGGAUCAAUCUUUGGUCAAGUGCAUACAAGUAGCUGAGCUCCCCUGCUAGAACUUCCAAACAAACUCUCAAGGGAGAGAUUACAAUUAGUGAAUUGAAAAUCAAGACCUAAUUAUGUUAUGUCUAUAAGGGAUAUACUUCAAAUAU